ACUCACUUGUUGGUGGCGUUGACCUCGCUU
rnacentral:piRNA from 1 species